rnacentral:rRNA from 1 species
CUAGCAAGUAAUACACGACAAAAAGAAUUUGGCCGAAUACCCCGAAACUAGACGAGCUACCCAGUGGCAAUAUAUGAAUCAACCCUUCUCUGUGGCAAAAGAGUGGGAAGACCACAUGGUAGUGGCAAAAAACCUAACGAGCCUAGAGAUAGCUGGUUGCUUGAUAAAUGAAUUUUAGUUCAACUAAAGACAUCAUUACUACUAAAGAAUAUUUAUGUCUUUAUUAUAAUUAAUUAAGGUACAACUUAAUUAAUAAAGGAAACAACCUAUAUAUAUGAAUAAUGAUUAUAUUUAAUAAGGAUGCCAUAAUAGUAGGCCCAAAAGCAGCCACCAAUAAGAAUAGCGUCAAAGCUUCACCAACAGAUGCCAACCAUCCAAAUAAAUAAUCAAAAUCCACAAAAAUAAUCAAGCUAAUCUAUAUAUAGAUAAAUUAUUACUAGAAUGAGUAACACGGAUUACCUCAAAAUACAUGUGUAAAUCAGAACGAAAAAAUCACUGAUAAUUAACGACAUAUUACAUAACAAGAACAAUAUUAUAAAUUCGUUAACCCAACACAGGAGUAUUAAAGAAAG